CUCUCUCUCUCAUAUAUCACUUUUCAUCUAACCAUUUUCAAAAUAAUUCAUUAGAUAUUAGAGAGAGAAAUAUCACCUUUUCAUCAAAGCCACCAUCAAAGCUAUGAGAUCUGAAUAUCGAAGAUCAAAGCCACCAGAUUUGAAGAUCGAAGAUCGAAGACACCAUGUGUUCAUGUACUCAUCCCUUUCUUUUGAAGCCACCAGAUCUGAAGAUCGAAGCCACCAGAUCUGAAGAUCGAAGCAGGCUGAAAUCGUUUGGUUGCAUGAGUUUCUAGAGAGGGAAAAUUAUGGGAACACCAAGACCAAAAACACACACAAGUGUGCGAGUGAGAAGCAGGUCAGAAAUCAUUUGGUUCAUGGGUUUUAGAGAGAGAAAGUUGUUAGAACACCAAGAACACACACACAAUUGUGUGAGAGAGAAGCAGGUGAAUGGAUGUUUUGUGUUCAAGAUGAAGAUGGUUAUCAAGGAGCAAAGCAAAUUGUUUUGAAGUAACAAUGAAGGAAUCUUUUUUCACAACAUUAUGUAGAUACAUAUUAGAAUGCCUAUUGUUACUUCAAAACAAUGGACAAUUCUAACAUGUGUAACACAUUCUAACAUGUUUACGGACCUAUUUUUUUGAGGGUGCACCCCCGUAACCAAUUCGGUAACCAAUGAAACCAUCAUGUAUUACUUGUGUUAAACACUGUUGUUAUGCGGUUACUUGGUUUAUAUUAUUUGACAAUGAUUCCCAUGUGUUGCAUAUACUUUUGUAACUUGUGUUACAAAUCACAUGUACUAGCAUGUUUGGAUGUAUACACGUUACAUAUACCAAGUGUUUUU